rnacentral:rRNA from 1 species
GGGGAAGCGGUGAUGGCCGCAGAGACCAGGGGAAAGCGACUGUUUACUAAAAACACAGGUCCGUGCGAAGUUGUAAGACGAUGUAUACGGACUGACUCCUGCCCGGUGCUGGAAGGUUAAGAGGACCGGUUAGACUUAAUUGUCGAAGCUGAGAAUUUAAGCCCCAGUAAACGGCGGUGGUAACUAUAACCAUCCUAAGGUAGCGAAAUUCCUUGUCGGGUAAGUUCCGACCUGCACGGUCGACGCGGCCAUCACCGCUUCCCC